GUGUGUUCUCCUGGACAGCUCUAACAGCUACAAAGCAAAGGCAACUUUCUGCACGGAGCAGCACAACUACAUCUGCCAGGAUGCCUUGAAACCCUGUGAUCCAAACGUGUGCCAGAACGGCGGAAACUGCACCUCCUGUUUCGGCGGCUCCACCACCUUCUGUGACUGUCUGAAGGGGUUCGGAGGAAAGCUGUGUGAAAUUGACAUUGACGAGUGCUCCUCUGGCCCGUGCCAAAAUGGCGGGAGUUGCCAUGACGACAUCAACUCCUACACCUGUCAGUGCCCAAUCGGUUACCAAGGAGGCCACUGCGAGUCAGACCUGGAUUGGUG